GGCCUGCCCACUGACUUCGGUUGAAGGGCCGCGGUAUUUUGACCGUGCGAAGGUAGCAUAAUCAUUAGUCUUUUAAUUGGAGGCUUGUAUGAAUGGUUGAACAAAAAAUAAGCUGUCUCGAUUAUAAAAAUUGAAUUUAACUUUUAAGUGAAAAGGCUUAAAUGAUAUAGGGUGACGAUAAGACCCUAUAAAACUUUACAAUUAUUUAAUUGAAUGAUGAAUUGUUAGUAUAAAUUUGAUUCAAUUAAUGUUUGUUUCGUUGGGGCGACGAAAUAUAAUUUUAUAACUGUUUUAUAAUUUUGUAACAAUGAUUUUUGGUGAAGAUGAUCCUUUAUUAGAGAUUAAAAGAUUAAGUUACUUUAGGGAUAACAGCGUAAUCUUCUUUGAAAGUUCAUAUCGACAAGAAGGGUUGCGACCUCGAUGUUGAAUUAAGGUUUCUUUGUGGUGCAGUAGUUACAGUG
rnacentral:rRNA from 1 species